rnacentral:rRNA from 1 species
UACGAAGGGUGCUAGCGUUGUUCGGAAUUACUGGGCGUAAAGCGUAGGUAGGCGGUCUACCAAGUCAGGGGUGAAAUCCCGAGGCUCAACCUCGGAAUUGCCUUUGAAACUGGUAGGCUAGAGAAUGUUAGAGGCAAGUGGAAUUCCUAGUGUAGGAGUGAAAUCCGUAGAUAUUAGGAGGAACAUCAAUGGCGAAGGCAGCUUGCUGGGACAUUACUGACGCCGAGCUACGAAAGCGUGGGGAGCAAACAGG